AGGCCCGCGGUAACCUUUUCUGUUUAAUAGGCUGUUAUUAUUCUUGGUUAAUUUCACUAGUUUUGUUUUGCUUUGGAGUGGAAUUUAACUCAGUCUUUUUACGACGAAAUCCAGAUAUAGAUUCGUGCUUCUGUGUUUCUCUAUGCCUUUUGUGUCUCCAUGCUUCUGUGUUUCUUUUUAACAACGAAAUCCAGAUAUUGUUGUGGGCCGAUUUUCUUGUUUUUGUUCUAUCGUUUGCUCACUUUUGACCCAUGUUGCCCACGGAGGCCACCAUUCGUUCGUAGCUAGGCGGAAAGCAGAGUGGAGGCCUUUUUACGGAUCUAGUGCGCUUCAGCCCAAGCUUUGAUUUGCACAUGUCCUCACUCCCACCUUUUGCUG
rnacentral:lncRNA from 1 species